rnacentral:rRNA from 1 species
CCUACGGGGGGCAGCAGUGGGGAAUAUUGGACAAUGGGGGGAACCCUGAUCCAGCCAUGCCGCGUGUGUGAAGAAGGCCCUCGGGUUGUAAAGCACUUUCAGUGAGGAAGAACGCCUGGUGGUUAAUACCCAUCAGGAAAGACAUCACUCACAGAAGAAGCACCGGCUAACUCCGUGCCAGUAGCCGCGGUAAUACGGAGGGUGCGAGCGUUAAUCGGAAUUACUGGGCGUAAAGCGCGCGUAGGUGGCUUGAUAAGCCGGUUGUGAAAGCCCCGGGCUCAACCUGGGAACGGCAUCCGGAACUGUCAAGCUAGAGUGCAGGAGAGGAAGGUAGAAUUCCCGGUGUAGCGGUGAAAUGCGUAGAGAUCGGGAGGAAUACCAGUGGCGAAGGCGGCCUUCUGGACUGACACUGACACUGAGGUGCGAAAGCGUGGGUAGCAAACAGGAUUAGAUACCCGUGUAGUC